GACGAACGCUGGCGGCGCGCUUAACACAUGCAAGUCGAACGGAAAGGCCAGCUUUCCCUUGUGGAUUGCGGGUACUCGAGUGGCGAACGGGUGGGUAACACGUGAGUGAUCUGCCCCCAACUUGGGUAUAAGCCUGGGAAACUGGGUCUAAUUCCCGAUAGGACUGCAGGGUGGUGCCUGUGGUGGAAAACGAUUUUCUAGUGGUUGGGGAUGAGCUCGCGGCCUAUCAGCUUGUUGGUGGGGUAAUGGCCUACCAAGGCGGCGACGGGUAGCCGGCCUGAGAGGGUGGACGGCCACAUUGGGACUGAGAUACGGCCCAGACGCCUACGGGAGGCAGCAGUGGGGAAUAUUGCACAAUGGGCGGAAGCCUGAUGCAGCGACGCCGCGUGGGGGAUGACGGCCUUCGGGUUGUAAACUCCUUUCGACCGCGAGGAAGCCACCUGGUUGGAAGGGUGGUGACGGUAGUGGUAGAAGAAGCACCGGCUAACUACGUG
rnacentral:rRNA from 1 species